rfam:Nannochloropsis gaditana strain B-31 unplaced genomic scaffold NG_scf16, whole genome shotgun sequence.
GGGCCAUUGGCCUAGUACUUGGAUAAGGCGUUCGGCUUCGAACCGAAAGAUCACAGGUUCGACCCCUGUAUGGCUCG